rnacentral:rRNA from 1 species
UGGGGAAUAUUGCACAAUGGGCGCAAGCCUGAUGCAGCCAUGCCGCGUGUAUGAAGAAGGCCUUCGGGUUGUAAAGUACUUUCAGCGGGGAGGAAGGCGAUAAGGUUAAUAACCUUGUCGAUUGACGUUACCCGCAGAAGAAGCACCGGCUAACUCCGUGCCAGCAGCCGCGGUAAUACGGAGGGUGCAAGCGUUAAUCGGAAUUACUGGGCGUAAAGCGCACGCCGGCGGUUUGUCAAGUCGGAUGUGAAAUCCCCGGGCUCAACCUGGGAACUGCAUUCGAAACUGGCAGGCUAGAGUCUUGUAGAGGGGGGUAGAAUUCCAGGUGUAGCGGUGAAAUGCGUAGAGAUCUGGAGGAAUACCGGUGGCGAAGGCGGCCCCCUGGACAAAGACUGACGCUCAGGUGCGAAAGCGUGGGGAGCAAACA